AACGAACGCUGGCGGCAGGCCUAACACAUGCAAGUCGAACGCUCGUAGCAAUACGAGAGUGGCAGACGGGUGAGUAACACGUGGGAACCUUCCCUAUGGUUCGGAAUAGCUCAGGGAAACUUGGGGUAAUACCGGAUAAGCCCUUCGGGGAAAGAUUUAUCGCCAUUGGAUGGGCCCGCGUCGGAUUAGCUAGUUGGUGAGGUAACGGCUCACCAAGGCAACGAUCCGUAGCUGGUCUGAGAGGAUGAUCAGCCACACUGGGACUGAGACACGGCCCAGACUCCUACGGGAGGCAGCAGUGGGGAAUAUUGGACAAUGGGCGCAAGCCUGAUCCAGCCAUGCCGCGUGAGUGACGAAGGUCUUCGGAUUGUAAAACUCUUUUGGCGGGACGAUAAUGACGGUACCCGCAGAAUAAGCCCCGGCUAACUUCGUGCCAGCAGCCGCCGUAA
rnacentral:rRNA from 1 species